CUUCCUUCUCCAGCAGCAGGAUGUGAUCCACCAACAAGGAGGGACUCCAAUAAGGCCUCUGAUAAGCCACAGGUUUGUGUAGUCCUCACCCCUCAUUGAAAGUGCUUCUCUGCAACAGAGUGAAACUAUUACAUGAAACCACAACAAACAAAACUGCAGUGUCGUGGAAUCCAGUCACAAAGGCAACAUCUACAAAACAACUGCUUCCACCUGUGGCUCCAGGAACACUUGGAAAGAGGAGAGAAGAAACUGGACUAAAUUAUACUCAAACUGAAGUCCAGUAAACGUUAGAAAUCUGAGACUCACUUGUCUUCUGGGCUCCAAAGCCCGAGGCAGCCCUCCUUCCCUGCCUCUGUCAUCCACAGCACAUGCAGAUACUCUCAGGCCACCACCUCUCCACACCUGCCGCUGCUGUCCCUUGUGCCCAUCCCAUACCACUGGAAUCCCCAAAAUGUUGGAACUUGUGCUGCAAAUGGGCUGCACCAUCUCCAAAAGCCUCUCCUGAGAGCUGUAUAGAGACCCUGACCUUGGCCCAUGAACAAGGUGUAGCUUUUGUAUCCUCUGGACCACAGCAUCUGUGGUUUGAUCCUGAGGAAACGCUUCCUGGAAGAUUUCACGCCAAUGAUGCUGGUCUGUUCUUAAUCACAGCUCAUACUUCAGCUUCAGCAGAUGUCCCAACACAGCCACCAUCUCACUUUGAUAAUUCUGGUCUCCUGUUAAUUUCAACUGAUUCUUCAGCACCAGGUGACCACAGACUCUUAAUUUGAAAUAUCAAAUGGUUAUGCUGGAGGAGUCCUUAAAGAAUUCUCAGAACUUCCUUUUAAAACUUCACAAGCUAGGACUCCCCUCAUCAGCAGCAUUGACAGUACUCUCAGAAUUAUCUUCUCAGUUUCCGUAAUUGCUUAUUAGACUCUGUACACUCAUUGGCUUUUCCAGGUCACAUUUUCAAAGUCCUUCCUGACUCCUCCAGUGCAAGGUUGUCAGACCUGUCACAGAAUUCUCCCACAAACCUGGUACAAAUUACCAUAUUCAGGUUUCUAUUGCUGUGAUAAAAUAUUCUGUCCAAAGUCACUUGGGGAGGAAAGGAUACAUUUCCUCUUACAAAUCCCAGGUUAUAUCAUACCACCACUGAGUGAAGUCAAGAGCAAGAACUCUAUGCUAAAACCUGGAGACAGAACCUGAAGUGGAAGACAUGGAGGAAUUCUGCUGAUCAGCUUGUUUGACCUGCUUUUUUACAUAACCCAGGACCACCUACCCAGAAGGAGGCAAUACCUACAGUGGAUGGACCCUCCCACAUCAAUCAUUAAUCAAGAAAACAUCUCACUGAUUUGUCCAUAAGCCAAUCUUAUGGACUCAUUUUUUAACACAACUAAUAAAAGACCCAGACACAGGUAUUGGGGUUCAAGCAUCAAAAUGAAGAUCACAGAAGAAAAGCAGCCAAGACAGUAGCACUUACCUCAGGCUGAAAGGACUGAUCCUGUCUCAAUGAGCUCUCCACCAAGCCUCAGAUUGCUGCCUCUUCUCAGUGUGGUGGAGAAUGAAUGCUUUCCUCUCCUCAAUAUGACUGGAGAAUGACUGCCAGCUCUGAGCUCCUGUUCCUGUCUUAAAUGCCUUUCAUGAAUGCUGGGAUUAAAGGCAUGAACUCUGUUACUCUUUUAGGCUGAUUCAACCUCAUAUAGCCCUGUGUGGCCUUGAACUCAGAGAUAUCCAUCUGCCUUUGUCUCAGGAGUCCUGGCAUUAAAGCUGUGUGCUACACCUGCCUGGCUUUUAUGGCUUACUAGUAUGGCUGCUUUACUAUUUUGAUCACUACUGGCUUUAAUAAAUCAUAAACAAUGUAUUCCCACACAUUUUCUCAAUUAUGAUUCUCUCUGCCCAGACAUGUCAAGGUUUGUGUUAAUUAAAACCAAUCAGGAAAUGGACCUUUGCACAAACAGUUCUACAUUCUACCACAGAGACAUUUGCACUUCCGUGAUUACUGCAGCAUUGUUUCAACAGCAAGGGACACAAACAGUUUAUAGACACUCAGCAACACAUGGAUGGAUAAUGAAAUGUCCCGCAUAUACACAACAGAAUAUUAUCCAUGUAUAAAGAAAAAUAAAAUGAUAUUUAGUGGAAGAUAGGUGAAUCUUGGAAGUAUUAAAUCAAGUGUUAUGAACCAGAGUCUAAAAAACAAACAUAAUAUGUUGUCUAAUUUUUAGCAAAUUAUGUAUAUGAAUGAGGUGAUUUGAAAGUAUUAAUGAGGGAAACAGAAGGAGAUGAGAGGUGCUGAAGAGGGAGAAUACAAAAGGACACUUGUGACAUGGAACUGGAAAUGCAACUGGGGGUGGCAGAGCACAAUGGUUAUAGGAGAUAUGUCAGAAAAGCGGAAAGAACAAUUAACAAUUUUCAAAAAUCUGCCAAAAUGAAAUGUAUGUUAGUAAAAACAAAUUAAAAAUGAAAAAAGUAUUUUAUUUUUCCUUGUCACUUUCACAACCCAGGAAUUUUUGUCUAAAGUACAUUUAAGCCAUUCCUUUGAGUAGAAAUUGCCAAAGAAAAUAAACCAAUGAGAUGACAGGAGCUGAACUUCAACAGUACCAAUUAACAAACACAAAUGAGCAAAUCAUAUUGACCACCUUCCAAUGCUGCAGUAAGAAUUAGAUAUCAGAACUCUGGCCUAUUUCUGUAAGGGGGGGGGUGAGUUGAAUCUUUCCUACAUAUUGAAAUCAACUGAAAUGGUUUUCUUCCCUCCUUAGAUUAUCUUAAUUUUUCUUUAGCAUUACCAUGUUUUGUUUUUUGUGAUAGUAAAUAAUCACAGGGAGAUGUGUACUUUACUUUCAAAUGGUGUACAAAGAAAUAGCCCCAGGGACAUUUUCUGAGUAAAAUUUGUAAAUAGUGUUUACUAUGUAAAGACAAAAUUAUAAUAAGC
rnacentral:lncRNA from 1 species